ACUCUUGUUCUGCUCCUUGUCCUUUUGGGGACAAGAUUAUCUGUGGCACGUUACAUAAAGGAAUUUUGAGGGCCGCCAGUCAUAUAGUGAAGAUUAAGUGGUAGUCUGUUUCUCGCACAGAA
rnacentral:snoRNA from 1 species